rnacentral:lncRNA from 1 species
ACCGCUGGCCCGUGUGCCGCAUCACGCACCUGUUCGUUUACUGUCUUUCCCGCUCGCCCGAGGCCUCUGGCUUUUCGGUUUUCUCGGUGCCUUUGCUUGUGGAUUGACGACUGGGCUCUGGAUCAUGCAGGAACAUCACUGGAUUCUGGAAUCUGACCGAGAUCCCGCCGGAGCUCUUCAACUCGACGGAGCUGGUCUCUCUAUGAGUCAUGGCAUUGGUGUCUGUUGCUGUGCAAACUGCUUACACUAGGCAAUGCGAGAAUUAACCAGCCUACUAGAAGUAGGAACAUGAGGUUGGAUCACUGUGCAAACUGCUUACACUAGGCAUACCUCCCUUUUGAAGCCGGUGUGCAAACUGCUUACACUAGGC